rnacentral:misc_RNA from 1 species
GAUGAAGAACGUAGCGAAAUGCGAUAAGUAAUGUGAAUUGCAGAAUUCAGUGAAUCAUCGAAUCUUUGAACGCACAUUGCGCCCUCUGGUAUUCCGGGGGGCAUGCCUGUUCGAGCGUCAUUAUAACCACUCAAGCUCUCGCUUGGUAUUGGGGCUCGCGGUUCCGCGGCCCCUAAAAUCAGUGGCGGUGCCUGUCGGCUCUACGCGUAGUAAUACUCCUCGCGAUUGAGUCCGGUAGGUCUACUUGCCAGCAACCCCCAAUUUUUACAGGUUGACCUCGGAUCAGGUAGGGAUACCCGCUGAACUUAAGCAUAUCAAUAAGCGGAGG